rfam:Myotis davidii contig69820, whole genome shotgun sequence.
GGCAGUUCUUGGUUGACGCACCCCAGAAUCAGGCUCCCUCCUCUUUGUUCCAGGUGUGUCACCCAAGAACCACA